CCUACGGGAGACAGCAGUGAGGAAUAUUGGUCAAUGGUCGGGAGACUGAACCAGCCAAGCCGCGUGAGGGAUGAAGGUACAGAGUAUCGUAAACCUCUUUUGUCAGGGAACAAAGGCGGGGACGUGUCCCCGGAUGAGUGUACCUGAAGAAAAAGCAUCGGCCAACUCCGUGCCAGCAGCCGCGGUAAUACGGAGGAUGCGAGCGUUAUCCGGUUUUAUUGGGGUAAAGGGGUGCGCAGGCGGUCUGUUAAGUCAGCGGUAAAAGCCAGGGGCUCAACCCCGGCCCGCCGUUGAAACUGGCAGUCUCGAGUUGGAGAGAAGUAUGCGGAAUGCGCGGUGUAGCGGUGAAAUGCAUAGAUAUCGCGCAGAACUCCGAUUGCGAAGGCAGCAUGCCGGCUCCACACUGACGCUGAGGCACGAAAGCGUGGGUAUCGAACAGGAUUAGAUACCCGUGUAGUC
rnacentral:rRNA from 1 species